UAGUGUAACCCGGCCCUAUUGUGUGCCCACUGAAAAAACUUGUAUCAGAUGAGAGUUCUUCACUUUUUGCAUCAGACUAUAGCAAGAGACUGCAGCACAGAGAAGCAGGGCCGUAACUAGCUGUGUGCCAGUGGUGCAUUGCCCACAGCACACCAUCUGGCAGCACCACCUGGCACUCGAACGGCCGCUCUCUCUCUCUCUAGCCACUCACCACUCAUGACUGGUCCCCGGAGAUCGCUGUUGCAGCCCUGCCCUGUAUGUGGUGUGCGCUUAGCUCCUCUGCUGCUGAGCGCACCCACUAUACAAAUACAAACUGCAGCUAGGAAGCCGCCGCCAGCUUUACCUUCUCCCACUCCCUGGAUGCUCUGCCCCCACCCCCCAUGCAGUGUCUCCAGGGACUUGGACAGUCCUUGCUGACUCCCACAGUGUGUUCGGCCUCAGCCCUCCCUCAUGCUGGCAGUGGACAGGGGAGGAGGACGGUGGAGCUGACAGGAGGAUGCGCUGGACGGAGGCCAGGAGCGGAAACCGGUGAGAUGGAGAAGCUAUGGGUGGAACGCAGCAGCUGCAGGUAGCAGUCCUUUACACGGAGAGGUUGUGCUGGUCUCCACCUCGUUAACUGCACUAGCUGAACUACCAUCCUGUUCUGUUCAUGCCAAACCUCACUUUUACGUCAUCAAUUGAACUCCUGCCCAUCCCAGAAAACCACAUUUAAAAGGCUCAUUUAUUACAUGAGAGGAAACUGUUUCUCUUACUUCACUGUGUGGACAAGAAGAAGUGGAGACUGAGCAGAAGGAAUAUCAGAAUUUCAAGAAGAACAUUUAGUAUAAUGGAAACCACGGCACAUCCUGAGGAGCCAACACUGGAAAUAGCGAUCUGUUCUAGGUCACCACCGAUACUUCUGAUCAUUUUGCCGAUCCUGGCAGUAGCCGUGAUGGUAGCUGUGUGUAUAUGCUGCUGCGUUUGGAAGAAGAAGAAAAGAAAAGCUGCACAACUUUCCCAGGACAAUGUCCCCCCGGUUUCUGUAUACGCAAAGACGUCACGGACCCCGUCAAAGCAAAAUGGUUCCUUAGAUGAGAAAUUUCUGAUCAUGAAUGAGACCGCCUCUAAGGAAGUCUAAGCUCCAGAGUAAUGGGAACAGCUGGAAGAAAUGAAUGUAUAUUUGGGCACUCAUCCGCCACUGUUGUUCACUGUGCAUAGUGCACUGACUAUAAAGCAGCAUGUGAAUCGACGAUUGUGUUCUGCUCACACGCAACUCACGGUAUAGUGCUAUGGUAUGUUCUAAAAUGCCGCACUCAUUAACGACACAUCAGUACUGACAUAUGAAUGGACUCUGAGUACAUACAGUAUACUGGUAAAUAAAAAUGUUUAUAGAAGACA